UACGAAGGGGGCUAGCGUUGCUCGGAAUCACUGGGCGUAAAGGGUGCGUAGGCGGGUCUUUUAAGUCAGGGGUGAAAUCCUGGAGCUCACCUCCAGAACUGCCUUUGAUACUGAAGAUCUUGAGUUCGGGAGAGGUGAGUGGAACUGCGAGUGUAGAGGUGAAAUUCGUAGAUAUUCGCAAGAACACCAGUGGCGAAGGCGGCUCACUGGCCCGGUACUGACGCUGAGGUGCGAAAGCGUGGGGAGCAAACAGG
rnacentral:rRNA from 1 species